GGCAAUUGUCCAGGAUACUCUGAAGAACAUGAGGUAACAGAACCUCUAGCAACUACAGAACUAGUAUGGUUUAUCGCCUCUGCUUUAUUGGCUCUACCCAUUGUAUUUCUUUAUAGGGUGUUAUCAGCCAUUUUCUGUAAAAAGCCAGGGAAACCUACCCAGAAUGCCGAUGUGAAUCAUGCACCUCGCAGGCACAAGCGCAGGCAUGCUGACAAGUAGAGUGCCUUGACGUAUUUGGAUUUAGGCUUUGUUGUAUUUAAAUUGAAGCUGUUUUUGAGUGAGCCACUAUCUACACCCACCCUGAUUGAUACGGGAUCAACAUUUAAAGAAUCGUCUGAAAUUGCCUGAUACAUACUGGUAUCGCCCAUGAACAAUACUGGUGUGUCAGCCCUGUUUAGGCCCAAAACAGUCCGAUACAGGGUGAUACACAGUGCUACAUAGAAGUAUCAGCAGUGAAUAAUACGUUACGUAAUACACCGAUUUAAACCUUGUAAUUGGGUGCUUCCCUUUCUACUAUUGUCAAUACAAUAGUACUGUACCGUUGUAUUACCAAAAGUCAAAAGAAAAGGAUGCCAUCAUUAACCAGGGUGGGUAUAGACAUCAACUGACUUCUAGGAAACCCAGAAUAUUUGGUGAAUGCUUCAGACAUGCUGACGAGACAUGGAUAUGGUGGGAAAACAAUUAGCAUAAUGUUAUGAGGCCUGGCAAUGGGCUGGGCCCUGGCCUGGUUUUGAACUGGUUGGGCCUGGCCUUCUGACUGGCUCUAUUCAAUUGUUUUCCCUGGGUGCAGGCCCAGCCCAUUGUCAACCUUAAAUGUUGUUGUAAUAAUUGAAUUUUUUUAGGGAGGGAUUGUACUUGCUGGAAUUCAGAGAUUGAUAUUGAAGAUUUAGCAACCUCAUUUGGAUCUUGGAUGUAGAAUUUAACUGUUUAUAUUGUUGUGAAAGAUCCCACAAGAGGCUGGAGACUUGUGUGGAUGAACAAAACUAUACAUGAAAUUGGUUAUUUGUAGACUGCUCUAGCAGCUCUAUUUCUUCCAGCUUCAGGAAAACAUAUCCUAGACAAGGGCUCUUACAAUCAAAACCAUUUGAGCAUACCCAAAAUAGAAAACCAUAUAUAAUGAUGCUAAUGCCAUCGUACGCCUUACCCUAAUGCCUCAAAAAAUGACACCUUAAAACGAAGUGAUGAGGACAUUCGAGCACCAUUUAGAGUAUACCAGUGGAAGAGAGCUUUGGCCCUAGUUCCAGCAUAUCUAUGGUUGGAUGUUCAUCAUAUGGGGUCCGGAUCAAGUACUUAGCCAUGUUGGAAGACCUCACAUGCAUGUUUAUGCAUCUUUGAAAACCCUACACUGGAAAGAUGCAUAUGAGCUGCAUUAGGAGCUUAUUGAACACAUCUAGACUAUUCGAUUGAGUGGAUGUUUUCGUUGGAUUGUUGGAUUUCUCGCAUUGGAUCAUCCCGCCCGUUGGCUCAUCUUGAUCAUUGGGCCAUCUUGGCUACGGACAUCAUGGGACAUUAGUUUAGUUGUUUUCUUAGUUAUUUUAUUUAUUUUGUGGGUGUUUUUAUGUUUUAGUUGAUUUAGGAGGUAUUUUGGACAUAUUUUAGCAACAUGGGGUAUUUUGAAUGUUUUAGAAUAAUAAGGGUGUUUUGAUAAAAAUACCCUCAAAAGACUAUAAAGCCUGGGGCGUGUGAAUGCUCUAGGGUUGACAUGCAUUGAAUAAAAACUUCUCUUUUUGCUUGAGCAAAGGAAACCUCCUGUGAUUGGAGUGGUGUGAAGCCAUGGAGUGAAUCCAUCUUAUCUCUCUCUUUUCUCUUCUUUCAAGGAAAUAUUACAUAUCUCUCUCUCUCUCUCUCUCUCUCUCUCUCUCUCUCUCUCUCUCUCUUUUUCUUUAUUUUCCUUUUGCUUCCCUUUAAACCCAUCCCCAUCAUCUCCAAAAUCCAUCUAAACCUAAACCUAAACCUACCCUAGCCAUACAACCGUAUGGACUCCACCUUGACCAUACGACCGUACGUCCAUCUGUAUGGCUAACCCACCUCCUCCCAGUUUCCCUCCUUGAUCUUUGCUCCUUGCUCUUCUCUCUAAAACCCAUAACCCUAAGCCUAAAACCCUAAAGCCCAAUCCUACAACUUACAUUCCAUGAGCCCUAAUCCUAAACCUCAACUCUUUUUUUGAGCGACUAGAAAUAAAAUUUAUUGUAUGAAAGGCCAAGGCCAUAAUAUACAAAAAAACAAAAACUAGACAUCCACCCAAAGAGCCUUUAUGGCUCUACCCAACUGGCUGGAAAACGAUCUACGAUCUUCGUGGCAACUGCCCAUUCUAUUACAUGAAAUUUUGCCUUGGAAAACACUUCCUCAGCUCGACCCGACCGAUUUCUGAAAGUUCUAUCAUUUCUUUCCAACCAUAAGAGCCAUAACCCCGCCAACAAAGCAAGGUGCCAAACUUUUCACACCGGAAGCCCAUGCAUACCUUCAUGCCACAUGUAGAGAAAUGGACUGAUGCAACUUGG